rnacentral:rRNA from 1 species
GAUGAACGCUAGCGGCGGGCCUAAUACAUGCAAGUUGAACGAGAUUGUUGGUAGCAAUACUGACAUGAAAGUGGCGCACGGGUGCGUAACACGUAUGUAACCUACCUUUAACUGGGGCAUAGCUUCGAGAAAUCGAAAUUAAUACCCCAUAACAUUUAGAAAAGGCAUCUUUUCUUUAUCAAAGUUCCGGCGGUUAAAGUUGGACAUGCGGUGCAUUAGCUUGUUGGUGAGGUAACGGCUCACCAAGGCUACGAUGCAUAGGGGGGUCUGAGAGGAUGAUCCCCCACACUGGUACUGAGACACGGACCAGACUCCUACGGGAGGCAGCAGUAGGGAAUAUUGGGCAAUGGACGAAAGUCUGACCCAGCCACGCCGCGUGAAGGAUGACUGCCCUAUGGGUUGUAAACUUCUUUUGUAUGGGAAGAAAAUUCCGAACGUAGUUCGGAGCUGACGGUACCAUAAGAAUAAGCAUCGGCUAACUCCGUGCCAGCAG